rnacentral:rRNA from 1 species
ACACUCCUGCGGGAGGCAGCAGUGGGGAAUAUUGGACAAUGGGCGCAAGCCUGAUCCAGCCAUGCCGCGUGAGUGAUGAAGGCCCUAGGGUUGUAAAGCUCUUUCACCGGUGAAGAUAAUGACGGUAACCGGAGAAGAAGCCCCGGCUAACUUCGUGCCAGCAGCCGCGGUAAUACGAAGGGGGCUAGCGUUGUUCGGAUUUACUGGGCGUAAAGCGCACGUAGGCGGACUAUUAAGUCAGGGGUGAAAUCCCGGGGCUCAACCCCGGAACUGCCUUUGAUACUGGUAGUCUUGAGUUCGAGAGAGGUGAGUGGAAUUCCGAGUGUAGAGGUGAAAUUCGUAGUUAUUCGGAGGAACACCAGUGGCGAAGGCGGCUCACUGGCUCGAUACUGACGCUGAGGUGCGAAAGCGUGGGGAGCAAACAGGAUUAGAAACCCCAGUAGUCCCAUGAU